GGGGUUGUGGCCCAGUGGUAGAGCACUCACCUUGCACGUGUGAGACCCUAGGUUGGAUCCUCAGCACCA
rnacentral:tRNA from 1 species